GACGAACGCUGGCGGCGUGCUUAACACAUGCAAGUCGAGCGGUAAGGCCCUUUCGGGGGUACACGAGCGGCGAACGGGUGAGUAACACGUGGGUGACCUGCCCUCAGCUCUGGGAUAAGCCCGGGAAACUGGGUCUAAUACUGGAUAUGACUCCAUGACGCAUGUUGUGGGGUGGAAAGCCUUGCGCGGCUGAGGAUGGGCCCGCGGCCUAUCAGCUUGUUGGGGGGUGAUGGCCUACCAAGGCGACGACGGGUAGCCGGCCUGAGAGGGCGACCGGCCACACUGGGACUGAGACACGGCCCAGACUCCUACGGGAGGCAGCAGUGGGGAAUCUUGCGCAAUGGGCGAAAGCCUGACGCAGCGACGCCGCGUGAGGGAUGACGG
rnacentral:rRNA from 1 species